rnacentral:rRNA from 1 species
AUUGAACGCUGGCGGCAGGCCUAACACAUGCAAGUCGAGCGAGCGGCGGACGGGUGAGUAAUGUAUGGGGAUCUGCCCGAUAGAGGGGGAUAACUACUGGAAACGGUGGCUAAUACCGCAUACUAUCGGAUGAGACCAUAUGGGAUUAGCUAGUAGGUGGGGUAAAGGCUCACUUAGGCGACGAUCCCUAGCUGGUCUGAGAGGAUGAACGGCCACACUGGGACUGAGACACGGCCCAGACUCCUACGGGAGGCAGCAGUGGGGAAUAUUGCACAAUGGGCGCAAGCCUGAUGCAGCCAUGCCGCGUGUAUGAAGAAGGCCUUAGGGUUUUAAAGUCCUUUCAGCGGGGAGGCGUUACCCGCAGAAGAAGCACCGGCGAACUCCGGGCCAGCAGCCGCGGUAAUAC